CUACGCAGGGAUCAACCAGGAGGGGAGAAACCCCUCUUUGCCCUAGUUCAUCAAAUCUCUAACAAUUAGAGGUGAUUCUGGACAUCAUUUGAAUGCAUGUGGCCUAAUUCUCAACCAUCUAAGAGUUUCCUACAUAGGGAGUGAAAGAAGAAGGAGCUAGUUCCGGUUCACAACACAAGGCUCAAGAACGAGGUAAAUCUCAUGCUUAAGUGUUUCGGCCCCUUUCUCGGAUCGAACACGCACCUUGUCAACCUCAUAUGCGCUUCCGGUUUAAGUCGCUCACUUGAAAUGGGUCAAAAAAGGUUUUGUAAUGUAAUGUUAAGUUAAUUUAGGAUGUUUGUAGUAACUUGGGUAUUUUCCUUAAAACUCAUUUUGGGCGGUAUCGCCAAAAUACUUGUAAUGAAUUUUGUAUGGUUGUAUUUCUCAUCUUUUCAAAAGAUGUCUUGCGCUUUGUUUUUUAAUGAAAUU